rnacentral:rRNA from 1 species
CCGACGGUGAGGGACGAAAGCUGGGGGAGCAAACCGGAUUAGAUACCCGGGUAGUCCCAGCCGUAAACGAUGUGCGUUAGGUGUAUCGGUGACCACGAGUCACCGAGGUGCCGAAGAGAAAUCGUGAAACGUACCGCCUGGGAAGUACGGUCGCAAGGCUGAAACUUAAAGGAAUUGGCGGGGAGCACCACAACAGGUGGAGCCUGCGGUUUAAUCGGACUCAACGCCGGGAAACUCACCAGAUAAGACAGCUGAAUGAUAAUCGGGCUGAAGACUCUACUUGACUAGCUGAGAGGAGGUGCAUGGCCGUCGUCAGUUCGUACUGUGAAGCAUCCUGUUAAGUCAGGCAACGAGCGAGACCCACGCCAACAGUUGCUA